rnacentral:rRNA from 1 species
GUGUAUUAGAUACCCCAGUAGUCCACGCCGUAAACGAUGAUAACUAGCUGUCCGGGCACUUGGUGCUUGGGUGGCGCAGCUAACGCAUUAAGUUAUCCGCCUGGGGAGUACGGUCGCAAGAUUAAAACUCAAAGGAAUUGACGGGGGCCUGCACAAGCGGUGGAGCAUGUGGUUUAAUUCGAAGCAACGCGCAGAACCUUACCAGCGUUUGACAUCCUGAUCGCGGAUUAGAGAGAUCUUUUCCUUCAGUUCGGCUGGAUCAGUGACAGGUGCUGCACGGCCGUCGACAGCU